rnacentral:rRNA from 1 species
UACGUAGGGUGCGAGCGUUGUCCGGAAUUAUUGGGCGUAAAGAGCUUGUAGGCGGUUUGUCGCGUCUGCUGUGAAAAUCCGGGGCUCAACUCCGGACUUGCAGUUGAUACGGGCGGGCUAGAGUUCGGUAGGGGAGACUGGAAUUCCUGGUGUAGCGGUGAAAUGCGCAGAUAUCAGGAGGAACACCGGUGGCGAAGGCGGGUCUCUGGGCCGAUACUGACGCUGAGGAGCGAAAGCGUGGGGAGCGAACAGG